rnacentral:rRNA from 1 species
GAUGAACGCUGGCGGCGUGCCUAAUACAUGCAAGUCGAGCGAACAGAUGAGGAGCUUGCUCCUCUGACGUUAGCGGCGGACGGGUGAGUAACACGUGGAUAACCUACCUAUAAGACUGGGAUAACUUCGGGAAACCGGAGCUAAUACCGGAUAAUAUAUUGAACCGCAUGGUUCAAUAGUGAAAGACGGUUUUGCUGUCACUUAUAGAUGGAUCCGCGCCGCAUUAGCUAGUUGGUAAGGUAACGGCUUACCAAGGCAACGAUGCGUAGCCGACCUGAGAGGGUGAUCGGUCACACUGGAACUGAGACACGGUCCAGACUCCUACGGGAGGCAGCAGUAGGGAAUCUUCCGCAAUGGGCGAAAGCUUGACGGAGCAACGCCGCGUGAGUGAUGAAGGUCUUCGGAUCGUAAAACUCUGUUAUUAGGGAAGAACAAAUGUGUAAGUAACUAUGCACGUCUUGACGGUACCUAAUCAGAAAGCCACGGCUAACUACGUG